UACGUAGGGGGCUAGCGUUGUCCGGAAUCAUUGGGCGUAAAGCGCGUGUAGGCGGUCCGGUAAGUCCGCUGUGAAAGUCGGGGGCUCAACCCUCGGAUGCCGGUGGAUACUGUCGGGCUUGAGUGCGGAAGAGGGUCGUGGAAUUCCCAGUGUAGAGGUGAAAUUCGUAGAUAUUGGGAAGAACACCGGUGGCGAAGGCGGCGACCUGGUCCGAUACUGACGCUGAGGCGCGAAAGCGUGGGGAGCAAACAGG
rnacentral:rRNA from 1 species